rnacentral:rRNA from 1 species
CUCAGGAUGAACGCUGGCGGCGUGCUUAACACAUGCAAGUCGAACGAUGAAGCCCAGCUUGCUGGGUGGAUUAGUGGCGAACGGGUGAGUAACACGUGAGUAACCUGCCCUUAACUCUGGGAUAAGCCUGGGAAACUGGGUCUAAUACCGGAUAGGAGCGUCCACCGCAUGGUGGGUGUUGGAAAGAUUUAUCGGUUUUGGAUGGACUCGCGGCCUAUCAGCUUGUUGGUGAGGUAAUGGCUCACCAAGGCGACGACGGGUAGCCGGCCUGAGAGGGUGACCGGCCACACUGGGACUGAGACACGGCCCAGACUCCUACGGGAGGCAGCAGUGGGGAAUAUUGCACAAUGGGCGCAAGCCUGAUGCAGCGACGCCGCGUGAGGGAUGACGGCCUUCGGGUUGUAAACCUCUUUCAGUAGGGAAGAAGCGAAAGUGACGGUACCUGCAGAAGAAGCACCGGCUAACUACGUGCCAGCAGCCGCGGUAAUACGUAGGGUGCGAGCGUUAUCCGGAAUUAUUGGGCGUAAAGAGCUCGUAGGCGGUUUGUCGCGUCUGUCGUGAAAGUCCGGGGCUUAACCCCGGAUCUGCGGUGGGUACGGGCAGACUAGAGUGCAGUAGGGGAGACUGGAAUUCCUGGUGUAGCGGUGGAAUGCGCAGAUAUCAGGAGGAACACCGAUGGCGAAGGCAGGUCUCUGGGCUGUAACUGACGCUGAGGAGCGAAAGCAUGGGGAGCGAACAGGAUUAGAUACCCUGGUAGUCCAUGCCGUAAACGUUGGGCACUAGGUGUGGGGACCAUUCCACGGUUUCCGCGCCGCAGCUAACGCAUUAAGUGCCCCGCCUGGGGAGUACGGCCGCAAGGCUAAAACUCAAAGGAAUUGACGGGGGCCCGCACAAGCGGCGGAGCAUGCGGAUUAAUUCGAUGCAACGCGAAGAACCUUACCAAGGCUUGACAUGUUCUCGAUCGCCGUAGAGAUACGGUUUCCCCUUUGGGGCGGGUUCACAGGUGGUGCAUGGUUGUCGUCAGCUCGUGUCGUGAGAUGUUGGGUUAAGUCCCGCAACGAGCGCAACCCUCGUUCCAUGUUGCCAGCACGUAAUGGUGGGGACUCAUGGGAGACUGCCGGGGUCAACUCGGAGGAAGGUGAGGACGACGUCAAAUCAUCAUGCCCCUUAUGUCUUGGGCUUCACGCAUGCUACAAUGGCCGGUACAAUGGGUUGCGAUACUGUGAGGUGGAGCUAAUCCCAAAAAGCCGGUC